CCCACGGGGGAAAUUUCCACGACCGACGAAAUCGGGAAGAAAUACCCGGCUCACUCUCGCGACGCAUUGGAGCGACGCAACCGCCACGACCCGGAGCGACGCCGCCGAUGCCGCUGCUGCCGCCUCACUCUGUCGACCUUGGCGACCGCGACCGACCCCGACCCCGACGCAUCCCUCGGCAACCGUGACCGACCCCGACGCCUCCCUGCAGUGACUGCGAACGACCGCGACGCCUCCGGCGACAGAGAGCUACCCUGAUACCUCCCUCCGGCGAUCUCGAGGCUCCUCUCCCCUCCGACGCAGCAGGAUGUGGAGAACCCAUAUCAUCCUCACCCUCCUCCGCACACAAGUCACAAGUUGGUUGUCUGACUUUUAGAUUAAAAAUGGUGCCAUGGUAGAAGUUAAAUGAAAGAUUGAACUUGAAGUACCUUGGGAACUUGAGAGAUCAUAAGGAAGGGCAUGAGAGAUAGUGAAACCGUCACUAAUUUGUGAUAUUUCGAUGGAGUAUUGUAUUUUUAAUAUAUUAUGUAAUGAAUUAUUUGCGAUUGAAUUGGAGUGAUAAACCAAGAUACUGUAGUACUUUUGCGCCAGAAUGCAAAAUUGAUACGCAUCAAGAAAAUAUAAUUAUUAUGUGUCAUUAUGAUUGCAAA